UUUGAAAUUUCUCAGAACUCUAUAAAAGCCAAAUUGAAAAUCCCAGUCCCGAUUCAUCGCCCUCGCCCCUUGCUUUUCGUUCUCUCUCGAAAUUCUCGUCUUCGAUGAUCGAUUCGCCACUGUGAACUGCAAUUUCCGGUACCAACCUCUCUCCUCCUCCACGACGGAAACGCUCUUUCCUCUCUUCAUCAAAUCCAUCCUCUAUCUAAGCACUUCUUCCCAUUUCUCAACCGCACCCUUUCCCUCCUCCCCAAAGGCCUCCUCUUCAAAUGACCAAUUUUCCCUCGACCUCCUCAACAUUUACCAACUCUGCCUUACUUGCUUGGAUUCCCUCUCUUCCCACCUCUCUUCUAAACCCUACUCCGUUCACGUCCAGAGGCUUCGCAUGUUGCAUUGUAUAGAGGGAUUGGGGUGGAGCUGAGGCCGAGGGGGGUUAGGGUUUUGCGUUUUGGAGAGCUUCAGAGGGAUGGAUUUUGAUGUGGAAAAUGGCCGUGGAGAUAAGGAGUUUGCGUUGUUGGUUCUGGAGGUGGUUGCAACUUGCAACCAUGGUGAAGUGUGCCGCGAUGGGCCAGAGUAAGGAUGAGGCAGUGUAUGGGAGGCUGAUUGGUUUAGUUGAGGAGCUUUGGCCGUGGCUUAGGUUGUCCGGCAGAUAUGUUUCUUGCUACCAGAGAAUAGAUCGUUGCUCAUCAUUGACAUAUUAAUGCGUGUGUUGGAUUCCAUUGCCCGUGAAUGCAAGUUCAAAGUGGAAAAAACCAGAAUGGAGUACAUUGAACUUGUUUCAUAUUGUGCCAAUAAAGGUUGAACUUCAGGCGCAAACUUAAGUAUUACAAUGGUGACACUUCUAAACAAAAUAGCAGAUGAUUCCCAUCAGGCUAGAUCUCCAUUUGAUAUGAUACUGAGGCUUUAUGCAGCUGGGUUGCACCUUAUCAAUUCUGAUGUGAAGUCCAGAGGUGGUGAUCUUACAUCCUCUGGAGGUGCUAAAUAUGAGUCUGUUAUUCAAAUUUUAUGUGAUGAUGGGGAUAUACUGCAGAACUUAGCUGCUUUGCUUGGUUCUUUGGGUAGUUACUUUCAUAUUAGCUGCAAAGAGAAUUAUGUUACAUGUAAUGUCAAACAUACAGAUUAUGUUUGUCAGAGUUGUUCAUGGUUAUGAGGCCUCUAUAGAUUGCACUCAGAAUAAUAGAAAAACUUAUUAUCUCUUUUACCUAAAUGCUUUGAAAUUCUUAUGCCAGCCACUAGUGGAUUUAGUAAAUUCAGAAAGGAAACAGCUUGUUAGUGAAAAUGAAAAUGCUUUUGUUACUACAAAACUCUGUAUAAUCCAGGAUACAUUCUAUCAGUUUGUUGAUAUUUUUUGUUCCUGUCAAAAGUAAGUUAAUUGUGGAUUUAUUUUACUUUGUAUAUGUAUGGUAUUUUCCAUUUGUGUUGUUUGGAAGGCCACCCAUUGUGUUUGAUGUGGUGGAUUUACAAUUAACAUAAAUUUAGAGCUGUUGAGAGAUUUCUGUUCCCAAGUUCAAGAUGGAGUUCCUUCACUUACUUUCUUUUUUGAUUACUGAUUUACCUGUGAUUCCAUUCUUUUUAUUCUUUCGGAAUUAGUGGUACUCUUAAUUUAAGAAAGAAUUUGUUAUACUCAGUGUGGUUUUCGUAUACUUCUUGUGUGCUUGGACUUCUCUCCUUUAUUUAUCUUCUUAUUAUAAAGAAAUCUUGUUCAAAGGUCAAUCUUUAUGUCUUUGUUUAGUUACCAUAGCUGUGAAAAAUAUGGCUGCUUGUGCACCAGAGUAGUUGUAGUAUUCUGUUGUGCAUUCAAUUCUAGAAACUAUUAUGUGAUGUGGGAGAUGCAAGAAGAUUAUUUAGUAUUAUAUAUGUUUGCAAGUUAAUUGUAUUUUUAUGUUUUAGGUCUUAGUAGUUUAUUAGGCUAUUAGUAUUUUAAUUUGGAAGCAAGGUUAUUUUUGUAAUAAGACAAUUAGGAUUUCCAAGCCAAUUAAAACUAGGGUUUAGCAAUCCUUUGUAAGCAACUUAUUGUAGAUUGUGAGGAGUUAGUUGAUAUUUUGAUGAAUGAAAAAAAUGGCCAUUUGGAUUCUUUUGGUUUGGUGCUGACUCCAGGUCUAUCCUAGGCGCUGACUCCUAGUGAUUUCCCCACUUGGUGCUGACUCCAAGCCAGGCCUAGGUGUUGACUCCUAGGGUUGCAUGGAUUUUCACCAUGACAUAUAUAGGCUGAUGACUAGAUUAUUCAAAUGCAAGAAUGUUCCACUGGAGAAUUUCUUGGCCAAACUGUGGGAAAGAUACGCCGUCUAAAGGGUUGCAUCAACAGUGAGUUGGGUUCCAAAAGAGUUUCUCAUUUUCAUUUGCAAGUUCCCAGGCCUCUUGCAAUCGUGAGAGCACUUUUAGAUCAGCUAUCACAGUUGUUGAAAUUAAAGAGGCUGCAUUUCAACUCAUUUUAAGUGUUCCUGUACCCAGUUAAUCUGUGUUUCUUGCUGGAUAUUUUUACCAUGAUUUGUGUGAAAGACUUGUUUCACAUGGAAGGUUAAUUAAGAUGCAUCAAAAGAUUGAAAAAUUACAGAUUCAAGUUAAGGCCAUCAAAACAGGAGUUUAAAUAUGACAAAUAUGGAUUGAUAUAAUCUCUAUAUAGUCAUGAUUAAUCUCUAUAUAUUCCAAGGAUCACCCGCUUAAUUUUGUAUGAAGUAAGCUAGAAGCCUUUUACAGGCAAUUUUGAGUUU